rnacentral:rRNA from 1 species
GAUGAACGCUAGCGGCAGGCCUAACACAUGCAAGUCGAGGGGCAGCACAGGUAGCAAUACUGGGUGGCGACCGGCGGAUGGGUGCGUAACGCGUAUGCAACCUACCAUUGAUUGGGGCAUAGCCCGAAGAAAUUCGGAUUAAUACUCCAUAAUAUUCAUCAAAGGCAUCUUUUAUGAAUUAAAGCUUUUGCGAUCAAUGAUGGGCAUGCGUGACAUUAGUUAGUUGGUGAGGUAACGGCUCACCAAAACGAUGAUGUCUAGGGGUUCUGAGAGGAUUAUCCCCCACACUGGUACUGAGACACGGACCAGACUCCUACGGGAGGCAGCAGUGAGGAAUAUUGGUCAAUGGACGCAAGUCCUGAACCAGCCAUGCCGCGUGGCAGGAUGACGGCCCUAUGGGUUGUAAACUGGCUUUUCCACGGGAAGAACCCUCCGACGUCGUCGGAGACUGACGGUACCGUGGGAAUAAGCAUCGGCUAACUCCGUGCC